rnacentral:rRNA from 1 species
UACGGAGGGUGCAAGCGUUAUCCAGAUUCACUGGGUUUAAAGGGUGCGUAGGUGGGUUGGUAAGUCAGUGGUGAAAUCUCCGUGCUUAACAUGGAAACUGCCAUUGAUACUACUGAUCUUGAAUUUUCAGGAGGUAAGCGGAAUAUGUCAUGUAGCGGUGAAAUGCUUAGAUAUGACAUAGAACACCAAUUGCGAAGGCAGCUUACUACAGGAAUAUUGACACUGAUGCACGAAAGCGUGGGGAUCAAACAGG